AGGACUACAGUGAUGUAAACGGACCCCAGCCCCGGGGAGGGAGCAGCACUUCUUCAGGACCAGGUGGUUCUGUGCCACUAGGAUGCUGGACUGUACAUUUUUCCCAAGGAAUCACAAUGUGAGGAUCUGCUGACCGCCCCUCCCCACGAGGUGCAGGCCUCGCCUGUUCUGACGCAGCCAUUUGCUGGAAUUAAAUACCGUGUUGACUACCAUUCGAGGCACCCACUAUAUUCCAGAUUCCAGAAGCUCUCUGAGACCCACCCCACCUGGCCCCGCUACCCACUCACCUACGAGGUUGAUGGGCAGGUCAAGCUUGGCAGCAGACACGAUGGCGGAACAAAUGGUGGCAGCUCC